rnacentral:lncRNA from 1 species
GGCGUUUACCGGGAAAACUUGGCGCGUUAGUUACAACGAGAUCGACAGAGCAGGCUGGCGAGGGCGGCAAGGAGUGUGUGUCACUUUGUGUUGCAGUCGGUGAGCAGAGGCAGGAAGCCCAGAAGAGGCAGCGGAGGGGACUGGGGCCGAAGGCCAGCGACCCGCGCCCUUAAGUUCUGCUCCGGGAACGAAGCAAAAACGCCCCAGGUGGAGCGAGAAACCUCUGUACUUCAGCAUCCAUGGAAUCCUCUUCCAAGCUGUAUGUCAAAAAGCAGGACAAAUAUGUAAAUCCUGACUUGGUGUCUGUGGUGAAUUAACUAAUGGGCAACUUGUAACGCUCAGCUGAACUUAAUCAGUGUGGUCUGGGCAUAGAAGAUCCACCUGAGGAUUGUUGCCAAUAGCCAUAAAAAGAGAACUGGAGAGGAAGAUUGUAUGCUGUUGAUUUUCUAGGAGAAGCUUGCUGCGCAUGGUUUUCCUGAUGCGAACUUGACUGUUCUCAUCGGAG